UUCAAUGCUACUAUAAAAAGAUGUGUAUAUUUUUAACUUGAAAACCUAUAAGAUCACACCAUAGCAAGCAUAACAUUUACANUGGUAAUCCAUCUCAAAUAACAUCCAACAUUUCAAAUAAAACCUUUUACUUUGAACAAUAUCUAAUUUUCUUCUUCUUCAUUACAUCCAUUGUUUAGCACACUCCCUUGAUCAGAUAUCUACAAUAUAACAUAAUAGUAAGUUGAUAAUAUAUCUAAUAAAAGAAAUCAUACAAAUAAAUUUAACAAUUAUUACUGAUGAUCGUUGAAAUACUGCAAAUUGUGAAGACAAUGAGUCUUGAUGAUUUUGCAACAAAAAUGUCAUCAUUGCCUUCAUUUCACUGACUUGUGAUUUCAACGAAAAUACCUAUAAUACAAAAAUUUAAUUAAAAAGUGAGAAAUAUGAUAUACCAAACAUGUUAAUCUUAAAAGGAACAAACCAAGUAAAUAUUUAUUAAAUAUUCAUUAACCUGAGAUUGUAAUUGAACAUUAGCAGAAGUUAGUGAAGAUACCU
rnacentral:lncRNA from 1 species